GGAAUUUUGGACAAUGGGCGAAAGCCUGAUCCAGCAAUGCCGCGUGAGUGAAGAAGGCCUUCGGGUUGUAAAGCUCUUUUGUCAGGGAAGAAACGGUGAGAGCUAAUAUCUCUUGCUAAUGACGGUACCUGAAGAAUAAGCACCGGCUAACUACGUGCCAGCAGCCGCGGUAAUACGUAGGGUGCAAGCGUUAAUCGGAAUUACUGGGCGUAAAGCGUGCGCAGGCGGUUUUGUAAGUCUGAUGUGAAAUCCCCGGGCUCAACCUGGGAAUUGCAUUGGAGACUGCAAGGCUAGAAUCUGGCAGAGGGGGGUAGAAUUCCACGUGUAGCAGUGAAAUGCGUAGAUAUGUGGAGGAACACCGAUGGCGAAGGCAGCCCCCUGGGUCAAGAUUGACGCUCAUGCACGAAAGCGUGGGGAGCAAACAGGAUUAGAUACCCUAG
rnacentral:rRNA from 1 species